rnacentral:rRNA from 1 species
UACGGAGGGUGCAAGCGUUAUCCGGAUUCACUGGGUUUAAAGGGUGCGUAGGCGGGUAGGUAAGUCAGUGGUGAAAUCCCCAAGCUUAACUUGGGAACUGCCGUUGAUACUAUCUAUCUUGAAUGUUGUGGAGGUGAGCGGAAUAUGUCAUGUAGCGGUGAAAUGCUUAGAUAUGACAUAGAACACCAAUUGCGAAGGCAGCUCGCUACACAAAUAUUGACUCUGAGGCACGAAAGCGUGGGGAUCAAACAGG